GAACUUAGUUGGGAAAUUACCACAAAUAGCAUAUUCAUAGUACAACUUUUCAUGUUUACACUAACCAUUUUUCUCACUUUUAAUGAAUGGUAAAAGACAAUUAUACCCUUAAGGUUAACUAAUAUAGACUUAGGGUUUAGAAUUGAGGGGUGGGAUAGGGUUUUUGGAAUGUGAAAUUUAUGAUUCUAAUAAAUAUAUAAAUAAAUACUUAAAAAAUAUAUAAAAUUUUUUAAAAAAUAGUUUCAAACAUAAUUUUCUUUUUUCAAAAAGAAAUUUGAAAAAAAAAAUUCAAAAAAAAUUUAUAAAAAAGUUCGAAAAAAGUAUAAUUCGAAAACAUAAUUUUUUUUUAUUUUUUUUAUUUAUUUAUUUAUUUUAUUUAUUUAUUAUUUUUUUUUUUUAAAUAAUGAUUUAUUAUAUAUAUAAUAACAAAUGUAUAAGAGUCUUUUGCUACUUAAUGAAGAAGGUAUUUUUGAAAAUGUCUCUUUAAUGGUGGUAAAAAUGAAAAGUGGUACCAUAAAAGUGGUAAACAUGUAAUUUCCCCAACUUAAUUUCUAGUUAGGGCUCUCCCUGAGGGAUAGAUAAUUUAAUGUAUUUUUUGUAAAGAAAUUAGGAGACAUACAC
rnacentral:lncRNA from 1 species